rnacentral:lncRNA from 1 species
AGUGAUGAGGCUGUGGGGUUUUACUGGAGACGUGGGUAGUGCUCGUGCUGAAGUAAAACAAACUGAAGGAUGGCCGAGCCCCGCACUCGAGGACUUUGCUUUGUGGAAGCUGAGAGCUGUCCCUGAAGGAUAAAGGACACCCCGGGACAUCCGAGACAAGCAGCAAGAACGCUGCAGAAAUCGAGUUGCUGUGCCGAGUUUUUCUGUGAGCAGGAAUCCUUAGUGUGGGUGCCAGCGAUGAGCCGAACGUUUGAAGGGUGCGAGAGCUCCGGGUAAACCCACGUUUGGGAUGCCCCGAUGUGGCUGAGACGCCUCAAGCGCACGGAUAAGUAUUUUCUCUUGUGAUUCUGUGCUUUGCGUCCCAGGCUCUCUCCUGCGUCAGCACAGGCCAGUUGUGGAUUCACUGACAGGAGCUGAGCCCCCCUUCCCAGCCGGGUACCCCAUCCUGGGCGCUCGGUUCCCGCUCCGCUCUGGGGCAGGCGCGCGGGGCAGCCGGGGGCGAGCGGUCCCUUUCCCUCUCCCCCCCGGUGCGGGACCCGCCGUGGGUGCCCGGCUGGGACCCGGUGACCUCCCCGGUGGGUUUGGGCACCGACCCUCUGGGGUCCGGGGCAGCAGCUACAGCUCGGCCUGUGGGGCUGGGGGUCCCCGGCAGCUCCGCAUUUCGGCCGCGGGAUCAAGGCCUGCUCAAAGUAUGAACUGGCAGCGGCUGUACGGGCUCCACAGGCCGGACUCCCGCCCGGUCCAGUCCCCGACAAGAGGGGCUCCUGUCCGCCUCCGAACCCGCCGCAGAGGGGCCGCAGCCGUGGAGAAGCCGCGGAGGGGCCUUCGCACAGCCGCCAGUGGACCUCGCACGCCUGCCCGCAGCCCGGGGGACGGACGGACAGACGAGCCCCAGCCACGCCGGGAGCGGAGCCCCAGGAAGAAGCUGAGCUGCCUGCGCCUGCCCGGGGACUGUGCGGCUCCAGGUCCAGCUCAUGGACAGCUCCAGUUUCUUUGUGGCACCAGUUUGUUUCUGCCCUGGUUUCGGAUCCAGCUCAUGUGCAGCUCCAGGCCCAGCUCCACCUUCAGGUUGGUUGUUUCUGCCCCGGCUCAUGGAUGGCGCUGCCUUGUUCCAGCUCCAGCUCAUCUGUUUCUGCCCCGGCUCAUGGACGGCUCCAGCUGGUUCGGGCUUCCAGCAUGUUAUAGACUCCAGUUGGUUUGAGCUCCAGCUCCAGCUCGUGCUUGUUAAAACGAUCUUGGCUUUUGGCAAGGUCGUAAAUCAAUCACUGUCAUGACUUGAAUAUGAAUAUUAAAUGUCAUAACUGUACAGGCAGUGACUGGUGUGUUUGUGUUUAUUGUUCAAUCACUGGUCCGGGGGUGGGACACCCCUUGAAUAAAGAGUUGGAAACCCGCAGCGAAAAGCACCUUUUCCCCCAGAGACUAUCUCAGACGUUUAAUUCGGCCUGGUGCAUGCCAGCCUCCCAAGCUUCGGGGACCAACGCGACCGGACCCCCACCUCCGGUGGGGGUCCAC